GGGAGAGCGAACAAGAAAGAAAGAAAGAUAGAAAAGAAAAAAAUACACCACACACUUGUAUGUACUAAGGGGGUAAAACACCCAAUCUCUCUCUCUCUCUCUCUUUUUCUUAUUCC
rnacentral:miRNA from 1 species